GGAUGUGAGGGCCAUCUGGCUGCGACAUCUGUCACUGAUCACCAGGGUUGAUUCGGCUGAUCUGGCUGGCUAAGCGGGUGUCCCCUUCCUCCCUCACCACUCCAUGUGCGUCCUGUCUCUCCUGAAGCUGCGCGCUUGGUUGAAGAGGAUGGCCUUCCCUGAAUAGAGGACAAACUGGUCUUCGGUCGAGGGUAUACGAGUAGCUGCGCUCCCCUGCUAGAACCUCCAAACAAGCUCUCAAAUAGGCAAUCUCUUGGGAGUCAGGCGGUAGCACAGAGGGUUAAGUGCGCGUGGCACAAAGCCC
rnacentral:snRNA from 1 species